rnacentral:siRNA from 1 species
CUUAAAUUAAAUCACGCUAGCUA